AAUAUGUGUUUCAGUCUACCUAAGACUCAGGUGAGUUUUGCUCUUAAUAUCCUGACGAGGAGAAUUUAAUAUUCUCUCUAUGUUUUGGUAGGCAUAGGGAUUUUUUAUUAAAUCC
rfam:Lactobacillus ozensis DSM 23829 = JCM 17196 strain DSM 23829 NODE_7, whole genome shotgun sequence.